GCAUACUAUAAUUAUUUCGUUAAAAAUGUUUUGCCGGUAUUUCUCGUCGUAUGAAUGGUGUUUGUGAAAGUGGGAUACUUUGAACAUCUAUUCGGUAUAAUAAUUAUUUUCAAGUAAGUACAACUUAAUUAUUUAAGUUCCACUGUAAACUAUGUCAUUCAGUUAAAGCCCUCAGCAUUCAACACGUUUAAAGCUUACUAAAUACAUAAUACUUGUUCAGUUAAAAGAUGUGUUUUUAUGUUAAAAGAUGUGUAAUUCGUUUAAAAUUAUGCAAUAGGUAUUUCAAUACAUUUCAAAA
rnacentral:lncRNA from 1 species